rnacentral:lncRNA from 12 species
CCCCCCCCCCCCCCCCCCCCCCCCCCCCCCCCCCCCCCCCCCCCCCCCCCCCCAGGGACCGGGGAAGCCGCCAGACACCCGAGGAAAGGGGGGAGAGGAAGGACAGACACCCCCGGAGCCCCCCAGGAGCGGGCAGCCCCCCCCCCGAGCGGAGGUAGCGAGCGCUGGGGCAGAGCCGCUUUGAAGAGAGGAGCGAAGUGUAAAUAGCCGGUGAUUGAUGUGCUGGCUUUGACUGCGGAGAAAGCACUAUUUUAAUUCAAGUGGCCAGGUCAGAUGGUCACGGAAGAAGGUUGAAAGAAGAAAACACUGGGUCGUCCGGCCAUGAAAAAACACCGUGUAAAUUGCCAUUUCAGAUUUUUCAAAAAACAUGUUCAGCUCUAAGAAUUCCUCCGAAUUCGUUACACUCCACGGCGCGAGGUUGCGCCUUGCUGGUCCCGGGCGAAGAACACCUGAAAACAUUCUCGGGGCUGGACAGACGCUGUUCUUCUACAGCUGAACAAAUGAAAGCGGCGAGAUUUUGAUACCAGAAGCAUCUGUGAGAGGAUAAAAUAAACGGAAACCCAAAUUCUUACUGGGUUUGGAAAAAAAACCCACAGAAAACAACUGUUUACAAGGUGCCGGGAUCUCUGCGUUCUUACACCCCCGUACACAGGCAGAGUUUUCUUUUUAGGAUUAAAAGAUGAUGAUCCAAUGGGCUGAGGAUGUAAAACUCCUCUGGGGAAUGCGAUAAACUGCAAAAAGCCAGUGGCAACUCAUUCCUGAUUAACUCCUUUUUAUAAAGGAGCGGAAUGGAAGCGAACAGGGGACCCGACGGGACACGAACAUAUUUUAUUCAUUUAAUACAAAGCAGCUCCUAAAAAAAAAAAAAAAAAAAAAUCUUUAAAAAGCCCCCCCCCCCCCCCCCCC